ACCAGGCGCUAGGCGAAGGAGCGCAGGACCAAAGGAGAUGCUUGGCUCCUAAGAUAACACCUUUAAAAAGAAGAAGAAGAAAGAAAGAAAAACAAACAAACAAACUCGAUACUUAGCCUCACGAUCCUUGCCACCCCCUCCCUGCUCCGCCACCCACACACAAAAUAAAGUGAGCCGGGCGGGGGAGUGCGCGCCCUGAAAGGGAACAAGAAGCAAGGCGCCUGUGACACAAAAUGGAGAAAGAGGAACCGGGAGUGGAAAGGAAGAAGGAAAACCGAGUAAAGGAGGUUAUUCAUAAGAACAGGAAAGGGGCCGAGGGGUAGAGAACACCCGAAGGAAAGCGCAGGAGGCCCUCGUGAGAGGGCAAGGGGGAAAAGAUCGACGAAGUAAGAGCGAAAAGAGGAAAGGAAAGAAAGACUUUCUAGAUGCGGAGUCUCCAUUUUCAGCAGCGCCAUAUUCGCUUUUCCUCUCGCCGCUUUUGGCUGGGUUUUGUGUGCGGCGGUGGACAGGCGCCAGCACAUUUCUGCAGCUUCAGCAGCUCUGCUCAGACACCUGGGGAGGGCCGCAGGGCCCGGGCGGGGGACGCGCGCUCUUGGCCCAGGCCCGGGCGCGGCCCCCUCCCCGGCCUGGCGGUUCCUGCGCAGCGCCAGCCCCGCGCUCCUCUAGGCUGCAAAGGGGGCCUCCGACUCGGGCCCGGCCCGGAGGGGACACCUCACUCGGGGCCCCGCGGCAGCCCCCAGGGGACGCGGGCCCUCUAGUUUCGCCCACGGUGUGGCUGGGCAUGCGUGCCAAGGGGAUGCGUAACCGAGAACCGAAAAAGACGAACUUAACCUUCGGGGAGGAGGAGAGGGCGCACGCUGCGGGUACCGGGGCUUGGGGGCGCUCCUGGAGGUGACGGGGUCACCUCCACCUGCGCGGGGCCACUCUCUGGGAGCCGGCGAUCGAUGCCCGCCGCGGCGCCUGGCCCAGGCCCCCAGGCCUCUCGCGGCUCCCGGAAAAACGUCCGAGGUCGGGGCUCGGCCGGGAGCCCCAAGCGGGUCCCCUGGCCUCGGGACGCCAGUCCGGGAGGCGGCCGGAACUCCGGUUUUCGCGGUUCUCAGCGAUAUUAGGCGCGGCCAGUGUCUGAAAGCUCCUCGGGGUUACGUCCUGGGGCGACUGGAGGCGGCUCACGACUCAGAAAGUCGGGGCUUCUCGCCCCGGAUCCCCACCGCUGGCGUCUGUCGAAUCCCCACCUCGGUCCUCGGGUAGAGGCGCAAGCGCGCCCCAAGACCAUUCUCUUCGCGCCCACCCCCGUUAUUCUUCACUUUCACUUGACAUCGUUCUUCACUCAAGGUUAGGUCCUCGCUAGUGCCAGAGAAGCCCCUGGGUCCCCAGUGCCCUCAGCCCCGCAGCGUAGGGAGCAGCCGGCCCGGGAGAUAAGGAGGCCACAGCCAUGGAGGCCCCAGGCCCGGAGUCCCCGCGCCGUCGGGUUUUGAGCCGCGCGGCUGGCCAGGACCGCCGGCUCCUUCUCUGUCCCGGUCCUCCGCUCGCAGCCCCGCAGAGGUGACGGUACCUGGAGGCUGGAAGCGACGGUUUCCUCGGGCCGGUGGAGGGAAACAUGUCAGGGUCACAGCGAAGGAAACCGAGACCCACAGGGGUCCCCGGGCGUCCGGGACGCGUCGCUGGUUUUGCUCCUAGAAGGAAAGGCCUUCCCGCUUUUGUUCCACCGGCUCACCAGGUCCUCCCUUCCUGGCCAACUCUAACCUCAGCUUUGUGCGUGUCACCCGGCCCCGGGAUAAUCGGAUCCUCCCAGACCCGGGAAUCCAUCAGAAGCGCUACCCGUACUUGGCGCCCUGAAAGUUCCCCAAGCGCAGCGGCCGCGCCCUCGAGUGCAUCCACUCCGCGAGCCACGGGCGGCGCCUGCCCACCCGCGGCUCGGCUUUGCGUGUUGUAAGCCGACUAUUCUAUCACCAUUGCAGGAUAAGCUGGCCUUUAAAUUUUCAAAGAACAUUUAGGUUAUUUUCAACAGUUCAUGCUUUUCAUAUCUGUCUUUUCAGACUGCAGAUUUCCACAAGGAAAAAUGUAUCUUUCCUAGACGGCAAAAAGCAGAUUUAUUUUCCUUUUUAAAAAGUUGCCUUAAAACGCCUAUCUCAUAGUACUUGGGGAUUAAACUGUUUCCCCUAAGAGAAAGUUCAACGGCUAAGCUCAAACGUUAGUCUUGACACCUUUAGUUAAGAUGAUCCUUUCCCAGUGUUGUUAGUGAAAUGUUAAAAUCAAAAUUUCAAAAUGAAGUAGAUGUUUUAUGUCUUUAGAACAUUCCAGAAAUUUAAGAACUAAAAAUAUUGACAAGGUGCAAGGCCUAGUUCACAAAUAACAUUCCAGCUUCUGUUUCUGUGAGAGUUCUUUUUUAAGGCUAUGAAAGAUUUUUGAAGUUAAAGUAUUCAUAGCUGGAACAGACAUUUAUCAUUUGACAACAUAUGAAAUUUUAAAUUGUGCAUUGUAAGUCUCAUGUUUAUGUUAUGUUUCUUGGAUAUAUUCCAUGGCAUUUUGUGCUUCUCUCUUUUAUGGGAAAGCUUACAAUUAACUUACCAGGUUUUUCUUUUAAUUUAAUCAGGAUUAGAUUAAAAAAAAAACCCUAAAGCUACUUAGUAAAAGAUAUUUUAUGGCAGCCAAAUACAAAAAUGAAUAAAGCUUAAAGUAAGUUAUUUUCUCAUCUCUCAAGGAUGGUUUCCUUCUGAAAUAAAAAUUGGAAGUUGUACUUUGGUAGGUGUUCUUAUCCACUCAAAUCUAGCCACCGAAUGCAAGUGAUUAGGUAUUAAGGCCUACUUAAAAAAAAAAACUCAUUGUGAAGCAUUUAUUAAACCCUAGAAAGAACAUUUUUCUUUCAUGAGGCCAUGUACUGAUCAACUUUCAAUGCAGAGCAAAGAUCAAUGGGUGCCACUUCUAGCAUUUCAGGUGUUAAAUAUUGCUAGGUAAUAUGGAAUUCAAAAGGAAAAUCAUCUCUAUUUGAUAGAUUUGUAAUGUAAAAGAAGGCAUACAAUCAGAGUCUUGGAAUUCAGAUGCAGAAUGUUAAAUACAGCUCUUAUGUUUUAUUCAAAAUCCAUUUAGAAAGGAAAUAUAAAUGACCUUCAUAGCAAGUUUUUGGAAAGAUAAUACUUAGGAAUAGCAAAAAGCUAGUUCACAAAUGUCCAGUGUUUGAUAGUCAAUAUAUAACACACACAAUCUUUACAGAACUAUAUACUUAUUUUUAAUAAUGCCUGUUGGUAUAUUUUAAAUGGUCCUUAUUUGUAUUAUAAAUACCUCAAAUUUCAAUUAUCUGCAAUUUUUACAUUUUUGAAGUACAUUUUCUUAAAUCCCAGAUUUUGUUAUAUGUCAGCACAUGGAAUACAUACAGGUAUUUCAUUCUAACAGAAUGAAAAUGUAAAUAUCUAAAAUAAGGUAUGUAUCAUACUAUCAUAGGAAUCAGCAAAGAAAAUCAUUUCACUAUAAUUCUAUUGGCAUUUUAAGAACAUUCAAUGGAAAACAUAAAUUUCCAAUUUAUUAAGACCUUAUUUUUGUACCUAAUUAUUAAAGAGUAAUACCAUCUAUGUUCUCUAACAGCCCCUUCCUAAUCCAUUGCUUUAUUAAAUACUCUUCUGAUUAUGUCUACUUGAUACCAAGCAUUAUCAAACACUUAAAUAAUGAAAUGAAAUAUUUUCAUUUCCCUUUUUGUUUAUGCUGUUUCUUAAUUGUUUUAUGAGAAAUUGAUAUAGUUCAAAGAUAACAAAUGUAAAUCUAAAAUUAAGAUGAACACUUGCAUUAAUUUAUUAAAUACAUAAAAUUCAUAGAGGUCCAAGGCAAUUAGUGUGUUGAAAACAAAUAUUAAUAUAUACAGGAAGUUCAAGGGUUACAACUCUUUAUGUUACCUGGAAAUGUAGGAGUAGCAUUCUCUUUUUAAAUUUUUGACAUUAUCUCUUGCUUUAGGAGAGUUGUAUAUGAUACCAAACAUUCUGAGAGUAUGUGUGACAGUGCUGGUGGUGUAGAGGUGAUGGAGUGGAGGUGGUAUUAAAAUCAUUGUAUAGCUUUUUCAUCUACAUCCUUGUUUGAAAACAUUUUUGUUUGUUUGCAGCUAAAUAUCCGGCAAUAUGUUCAAUGCCUCAGGCAAUUCCUUAGGUAAUUGUAAAGACCUAAAAGUAAACAAGCAAAAGAACAUUGAUCAGCCAAAAUGUUAUAGUUUUCAUGUCACAAAAAAGAACUGUAUAUAAGCCAUUGAUUUUAAGUGGAAUUAAUGAAAAUUCUACAAAGUACUACAGAAAAAUUACAUAGUCAUAUUGCUGAAUAAGAAUGUAUUGCCACAAUAAAUGCAAUAUUUUUUAGAAGUCAGUAAUCUUUUACAGUAGUUUCCACACUUUGUAUCUAGUUUUUAAUUCAUCAAUUUAUGAUAGUACAAGUGCUCCAAAUUGAAUUGUUUUUAAACAUAUGGAAUACCCAGAUGAUUUUGUACAUGAGGAAUAAGAAGAAACUAUUGGAAUUCUUGAUUACUAAUAAUGGUCUCAACACGAUAGCAGAAUUUCAUAAAUCAAUUAUAUGCUCCAUUUGAAGGUGAUAAAGCAUAAUUAACUUACUUGACACCAACACAACCAAUGUUUUGUUUCUUCACAGAACAGGCUAUGAGCUAUUUUCAAUUAUUGCACUGAAAUGCUGUCCUCUAAAAUUAACAAAUGAAUGAAGCAUUUGCAAACUGGACAUUGCACUGAGAACAACGUAGAGUGAAACUAUCCAGUUGUUUUUCUAAUUAUAUUUUAUCUACUUAGAUAAUAGGAACUAGCAAUUACUAAUGUUUUUUUUUUAACUAAGCAAUUUGGUGGGAAAAAACAUCACCUAAAGUAAUGUAUUAUUCUUAUGAACAAUGUGAAACAAAAUUAAUCAUUUGGAAUGGCAUCUAGAUAGUAGGACUUUAAUUCUUAAUUUAGAGUAUUGAGCAUAAAAUACUAUGGUUUUAUUGAAUCUUUUACCAUGCCAUUUCUUACAGUAAAAAAGGAAAAAUAGAAAUGGAAUAUCUAGAUAAUUAAAAUAAACAUUUUCUGGUUAUGUGAAACAAAGGAGAGUUUUAAGGGGUAGAAGAGGAAGGUGCAGAAUUCUUAUCUGCCUUCCUAGCAGACAGAGUAGGCAAGUGGCUACUUGAUCCAAUUUCAAGGACAACUGCAAACAGUGCAUCCUCCCCAAAUAUUUCCAUCACCCAUUUACUGAUGCAUUCACCAUUUUUGUAGUUUAAAAAUUUGAACCUCAAUAAAAUCCAAAUGCUACUGAGAAAACUCACAUUCUAAGCUGUUGUCAAUUAUUUAUACCUUUGAAUGAGUAUCAGAGCAAACGUUGCUGGAAGAAAAAGUUUCGGGACCUUGAAUAAUUAAUGUGAAUGGGACAGGAGAACUUGAGGAAGGAUGUGCAGAGAAACGGCUGAAUUGCUGAGCAACAGAGAGAAACGUUUUUGUGUAGUUUUACCUGGUCUAAAUUAACUAACUAGAUAAUGCCCUAUUUUAACAUAAACAUUUAAUGAUGCAUAACACACUUCAUUUCAUACUGUUCCCUAUAGCUGGGCAAUGAUUACUCCAAGGUGUAAUGGAAAACAUGAAUUAAUUAGAGAUUUCGGGUACGAACGUGACAUGAAUGUAAAAUAUACAGAUCAUUAAAAUCAUGUCUAUAAAAUAGAAAUUAAAAUAUGAGUUUUGUAAUGUAUUUGACAACCAGAUAAUUUGUCUAUCCACAUAAAUCAAACUAACCAGAUUAUUGCCAUAUUUCAGCUUUACUAUGAACUGUGUUAAUAAAUAUCAUGACUAAAUACUAUCUCUUAAAGCAUUUUGUAAUAGAUGUAAGGGUUUUUUCCCCUUUUGUUUAUAGUAAUAAUAAAUUUGCACAUUGUGUGGAAAUCAAGAUCAACUGUUAAAAUAGCCAAGCAAUCAUGUAAUCGUUCAGUUACUUCAAACGUAAAGUAGGCUCAGAUUUAUUUUUUCCUAACAAACUGGUUCUAGUCCACUCAAGAUUCUAUCCAAAAAGCAGUAUUUAGCACUUUUCAGGCUAAUUCCAAACAAACGAAGAUUAACAGAUCAUCAGUUUAGCUUCACACAUGAAAUUGAAAAAUGAAUUGCUGGUCAAAAUGCUAAAAACACAAAUGUGAAAUUUAUAUGUGUUCCUUGUUCCUAAAUAUUGAAAAAAUAUCAACUAAUCAUCAAGUUUGCCAAAGCAAAAAAAAAUUGAAAUAUAAUUCCUAGUUAAUUGGUUUACCAUUCAUUAUUACUUCUCUUUGAAUUCAGUAACUUAUCAAUGAUUAAAGAUGUGCUUCAACAAGUUAAUUCUUUAAGUUCAAAUAACUGGAAACCAUUUUCUCAAUGGUGCAGCAUUUCUUAAUGUCAGUUCAAGAUGUUUGGAGACAUAUUGCUGAUUUUAGAAGCUGAUGUGUGCUGAUUUAUGAAGGAAUUGUUUAGCUUGUACUCUGGGCUCUGAUCAAGGGAGAUACACUCUCAGAUACAGCCUGGCAUUUAAGGGUACCUCUUUCCUAGCUGAUUAUCUGCUUCCUGAGUUCAGUUGUAAUAGCUUGCGAGCUUCUCCCAUCCCAUAUGACUGGAUUCUGAUUUCUUAUUUUCUGAUAGCAGGGUAAACUUUGUUCUCCCUUAUUACUAAACGUUGACUUGACAAAUAAAUAGACCUCCUGCAUUUUAAUGUUUGUCUGUUUUUGAAAAGAUUCUCAUCUGUUUCUCUGAUCACAGCCUCCCGA
rnacentral:lncRNA from 1 species